GUGCUUACUUUGGCAACACACACACUAAAAUUGGAACAAUACAGACAAUAUUAGCAUCACCGCUGUGCAAGGAUAGCACACAAAUUUGUGGUAUUCCAUAUUUUUUU
ensembl:snRNA U6 U6 spliceosomal RNA